GAUGAACGCUGGCGGCGUGCUUAACACAUGCAAGUCGAACGAAGCACUUUGGACAGAUUCUUCGGAUGAAGUCCUUAGUGACUGAGUGGCGGACGGGUGAGUAACGCGUGGGUAACCUGCCUCAUACAGGGGGAUAACAGUUAGAAAUGGCUGCUAAUACCGCAUAAGCGCACGGUACUGCAUGGUACAGUGUGAAAAACUCCGGUGGUAUGAGAUGGACCCGCGUUGGAUUAGCUAGUUGGCAGGGUAACGGCCUACCAAGGCGACGAUCCAUAGCCGGCCUGAGAGGGUGGACGGCCACAUUGGGACUGAGACACGGCCCAGACUCCUACGGGAGGCAGCAGUGGGGAAUAUUGCACAAUGGGGGAAACCCUGAUGCAGCGACGCCGCGUGAGCGAAGAAGUAUUUCGGUAUGUAAAGCUCUAUCAGCAGGGAAGAAAAUGACGGUACCUGACUAAGAAGCCCCGGC
rnacentral:rRNA from 1 species